rnacentral:ncRNA from 1 species
GAGGGUAGGCCCCUCGAAAUCACUAUACAGGUAGGGAUUUCAAAUCACCUUAAGGUGCUAUUGUCAAAAGCAAUGGUAUUGAGCAUUAAGGAAAAGGCAAGACAAAAGAUUUUGUCAGA